AUUGAACGCUGGCGGCAGGCCUAACACAUGCAAGUCGAACGAGUGGCGGACGGGUGAGUAAUGUCUGGGAAACUGCCUGAUGGAGGGGGAUAACUACUGGAAACGGUAGCUAAUACCGCAUACCAUCAGAUGUGCCUAGAGGGGAUUAGCUAGUUGGUGGGGUAAAGGCCUACCAAGGCGACGAUCCGUAACUGGUCUGAGAGGAUGAUCAGCCACACUGGAACUGAGACACGGUCCAGACUCCUACGGGAGGCAGCAGUGGGGAAUAUUGCACAAUGGGCGAAAGCCUGAUCCAGCCAUGCCGCGUGUGUGAAGAAGGUCUUCGGGUUGUAAAGCACUUUCAGUGGGGAGGCGUUACCAACAGAAGAAGCACCGGCUAACUCCGUGCCAGCCGCCGCGGUAAUUC
rnacentral:rRNA from 1 species